AUGGACGAUACAAUGCAGAUGCUAUCUUA
rnacentral:piRNA from 1 species